AACGAACGCUGGCGGCAGGCCUAACACAUGCAAGUCGAGCGAGGACUUCGGUCCUAGCGGCGGACGGGUGAGUAACGCGUGGGAACGUGCCCUUUGCUUCGGAAUAGCCCUGGGAAACUGGGAGUAAUACCGGAUGAGCCCUUUGGGGGAAAGAUUUAUCGGCGAAGGAUCGGCCCGCGUUGGAUUAGGUAGUUGGUGGGGUAAUGGCCUACCAAGCCGACGAUCCAUAGCUGGUUUGAGAGGAUGAUCAGCCACACUGGGACUGAGACACGGCCCAGACUCCUACGGGAGGCAGCAGUGGGGAAUCUUAGAAAAUGGGGGAAACCAUGAUCGAGCCAUGCCGCGUGAGCGAUGAAGGCCUUAGGGUUGUAAAGCUCUUUCAGCUGGGAAGAUAAUGACGGUACCAGCAGAAGAAGCCCCGGCUAACUCCGUG
rnacentral:rRNA from 1 species